rnacentral:rRNA from 1 species
CACGCAAAUUACCCACUCCCAGCACGGGGAGGUAGUGACAAAAAAUAACGAUACGGGACUCAUCCGAGGCCCCGUAAUCGGAAUGAGUACACUUUAAAUCCUUUAACGAGGAUCCAUUGGAGGGCAAGUCUAGUGCCAGCAGCCGCGGUAAUUCUAGCUCCAAUAGCGUAUAUUAAAGUUGUUGCAGUUAAAAAGCUCGUAGUUGGUUCUGUGUUCCACGCUGUUGGUUCACCGCAUGUCUGUGCAACUGACAUGUCGUGGGACGUCCUGCCGGUGGUAGUUGGUCGCCAGUAAUUCGAUGUUCUGAGUGGACUUGAACCACUAGACUUCGUGCCACUGGUUGGAUUAACUUACCGAGCGCACUUACCCGCCCUGGUGCUCUUUACUGAGUGUCGAGGAGGGCCGGCACAUUUACUGUGCACAAAUUAGAGUGCUCAAGGCAGGCAAAAUUAUGCCUAAAUAGUGGUGCAUGGAAUAAUAGAAUAAGACUUUGGUUUUAUUUUGUUGGUUUUUUUAAACCCUAAGGUAAUGAUCAAUGUGGACGGUCGGGGGCAUUCGUAUUGCGACGUUAGAGGUGAAAUUCUUGGAUCGUCGCAAGACGCACAAGAGCGAAAGCAUUUGCCAAGUAUGUCUUAAUUGAUCAAGAACGAAAGUUAGAGGCUCGAAGGCGAUCAGAUACCGCCCUAGUUCUAACCAUAAACGAUGUCAGCCAGCGAUCCGUCUGGUUUUAAAUCAUGACUCGACGGGCAGCUUCCGGGAAACCAAAGCUUUUGGGUUCCGGGGGAAGUAUGGUUGCAAAGCUGAAACUUAAAGGAAUUGACGGAAGGGCACCACCAGACGUGGAGCUUGCGGCUUAACUUGACUCAACACGGGAAAUCUCACCAGGCCCAGACAUUGGAAGGAUUGACAGAUUGAUAGCUCUUUCUUAAUUCAGUGGGGAGUGGUGCAUGG